GAUGAACGCUAGCGGCAGGCUUAAUACAUGCAAGUCGAGGGGCAGCAGUUUUGUAGCAAUACAGAAGCUGGCGACCGGCAAACGGGUGCGGAACACGUACGCAACCUUCCUUUAACUGGGAGAUAGCCCACCGAAAGGUGGAUUAAUAUCCCAUAAUAUAACUGAAUGGCAUCAUUUAGCUAUUAAAGCUCCGGCGGUUAAAGAUGGGCGUGCGUCUGAUUAGGUAGUUGGCGGGGUAACGGCCCACCAAGCCUUCGAUCAGUAGCAGAUGUGAGAGCAGGAACAGCCACACGGGCACUGAGACACGGGCCCGACUCCUACGGGAGGCAGCAGUAAGGAAUAUUGGUCAAUGGACGAAAGUCUGAACCAGCCAUGCCGCGUGGAGGAUGAAGGCCCUCUGGGUUGUAAACUUCUUUUCUUUGGGACGAAACCCCUGUUUCUACGGGGACUGACGGUACCAGAGGAAUAAGCACCGGCUAACUCCGUGCCAGCAGCCGCCGUAAAAC
rnacentral:rRNA from 1 species